CCCUUAGAUGUCCUGGGCUGCACGCGCGCUACACUGAUGUGUCCAGUAAGCACCUAACCUCUUCCGAAAGGAACGGGUAACCUUUGCAAAGCACAUCGUGAUGGGGAUAGAUUAUUGCAAUUAUUAGUCUUGAACGAGGAAUUCCUAGUAAGCACAAGUCAUCAGCUUGUGUUGAUUACGUCCCUGCCCUUUGUACACACCGCCCGUCGCUCCUACCGAUUGAAUGGUUUAGUGAGACCCUCGGACUGGUCCCGUCGAAGCAGGCGACUGCCUCGACGCGCGCGCCGGGAAGAAGGUCGAACUUGACUAUCUAGAGGAAGUAAAGGUCGUAACA
rnacentral:rRNA from 1 species